GUGCUCUCUUUGGUAGCACAUAUACUAAAAUUAAAAUGAUACAGAGAUUAGCAUGGCCCCUG
ensembl:snRNA U6 U6 spliceosomal RNA